GUGUCAGCAGCCGCGGUAAGACAGAGGGUGCAAACGUUGUUCGGAAUUACUGGGCGUAAAGCGCGUGUAGGCGGCUCGGCAAGUCGGGUGUGAAAGCCCUGGGCUUAACCUAGGAAGUGCACUCGAAACUGCCAAGCUUGAGUUCUGGAGAGGAAGGCGGAAUUCUCGGUGUAGAGGUGAAAUUCGUAGAUAUCGAGAGGAACACCGGUGGCGAAGGCGGCCUUCUGGACAGCAACUGACGCUGAGACGCGAAAGCGUGGGGAGCAAACAGGAUUAGAAACCCUAGUAGUCC
rnacentral:rRNA from 1 species